rnacentral:rRNA from 1 species
AUUGAACGCUGGCGGCAGGCCUAACACAUGCAAGUCGAGCGGUAGAGAGGUGCUUGCAUCUCUUGAGAGCGGCGGACGGGUGAGUAAUGCAUAGGAAUCUGCCUAGUGGUGGGGGAUAACGUUCGGAAACGGACGCUAAUACCGCAUACGUCCUACGGGAGAAAGCGGGGGAUCUUCGGACCUCGCGCCAUUAGAUGAGCCUAGGUCGGAUUAGCUAGUUGGUGAGGUAAUGGCUCACUAAGGCGACUAUCCGUAACUGGUCUGAGAGGAUGAUCAGUCACACUGGAACUGAGACACGGUCCAGACUCCUACGGGGGGCAGCAGUGGGGAAUAUUGGACAAUGGGCGAAAGCCUGAUCCAGCCAUGCCGCGUGUGUGAAGAAGGCCUUUUGGUUGUAAAGCACUUUAAGCGAGGAGGAGGCUCUUAAGGUUAAUACCCUUGAUGAGUGGACGUUACUCGCAGAAUAAGCACCGGCUAACUCUGUGCCAGCAGCCGCAGUAAAAC